CUCUCGUUCUCUUUUCUACCAGUAAAGAAAGUUCUCUCAUAUAUCACUAAAUACUCAUUGAAACCUAAAAUCUAUACCUUUGUCUGGUUUCUGAGAAAAAACUUUUUAGGGUUUAGAUUAUUAGGGCUCAGACACUAAAUUCUUCUUUCUAUUUCAAUUUCAGACUCCAAAUCUCACCUAAGGCUUCAGUUAUACUGAUUCAGAUCGAGUGUUCAUAUCAUUUUGGGUUACUAAGGGAUCUAACGGGUUCAGAUCUUAUGUGUAAAGUGAAACAUACUUUUGGGGUUAUAUACUAGAGGGAGGGAGGAAAGAAUUACAGAGUAAUCAUGAAUGAGCCAACGAAACCAUUUUGGUUGGUGAUGUUUUAAUGACAGGACCAUCAUCACCUAUCAUACCUCCAGAAAUUGCAUCACAUGUUCUUGAAGGUGUUGAGACUUGUGAUGGAAUGGAAUUCUUAGGAAUUUCUUCUUACGUAAUGGAUGUGAUGAUCUGUAUUCAGAGCUAUGGAGAGCUUGUGCUGGUCCUCUUGUUGAUGUCCUCAAGGUCAUAUGGAGCAAGUAAGACUCAUCAUCCCUAAACUGACAUGUAUUGAUCUUGCUUUUAUGGAUAGAAGCAUCGCAAAUGAAGAAUUAGUUUUCAGAGAAUUAUUGGAUGAACAAGAAACCGAUGAGGUUUAUGCAAGACUGACUUUGCAACCAUAACAUGAUCCGAAUGAACCUAGUAGUCAUGUACCAUGUACACAAGAACCACCAAGAGAGGGUGUUCAAUCAUUUUGCAAUAUUUUGACUGCGUCUGAUACUAGUACUCAUGGAGCGUUCUUCGUUCCUCGAAAACAUGCUAAUGAAAGUUUACCUCCGUGGGUCCAGUAGGCUAAAGCCGCUAAAAUGCUACUGAUGCGAGAGAUCCGCAUUGUCUUAGGUGAGGGUAUCGCGGUCGAGGUAAUAAACUCUUAAUAAGCUAGAAAUUAAAUUAGUCAGCAAAUUAAGUUUUUACCGUGGUUGAUAAUUCUUCUACGCUGCUUCAAAAAGGUAGUGCCCUUAAAAAGAUGGAUGAACAUACUUUAUUAAAUACUUCUCUUUUCAUGUCAAUUUGUGCAUCUGAAUCGAAUUACUCAGCUUGCGUUGUUCUCUAUUGGCCGUGUCAAAUAUCAUCUAUAACGCCUUUCAACUUAAUGACCUGCCCUGUAACUUAACCUUACCUGUGUUAAGCAUAAUUGAAGUCCAUAAUCUUUCUUUAUUAUUUUUUCCAACAAAGAAUUUAAUAGUGCAUUUGUAGUAGUAGUAGUAAAUGGUAUUGUUUAGUGGCUCACCAAGAUCAUAAAAGACAAAGUCUUUUGUUUCCAACACAAAACAAAAUUCUGUGUCUUAUACAAAUAUUGUAGAAUAAGGGCCUUCUACAAUUAACGAAAGAUAAAAGAGUAGACAAAAUAAUCUUUAAUUUUUUUUUUCCUUUUUUCUGAAAGGAAAUGAAAUUACUACUAAAAUAUAUUCAUGGGUAUAAGUGGCGGUUUAAGCAUAUUUUAGAGGUUUGUCACUUCUAAAGAUAUUGGUUGCAGGGGAUAUUUUUGUUUUUCUCAGAUACCAGGGCUUUAAAUUUCUAACUGUUUGUCCAUCUCUUUUUAGGAUUGCUUCUGGUCUCUUGUUUCUUCUUGUAUAGAGCGAAGAAUGGGAAUUUGUGUGUUGUAGUAAGGCAUCAUGCUAGGAAACAAAGCAAUAUGCCCUCACCUAAUCUACAUGCAAUCUGGAAUGUUUGUCUUGCUCCUGCAUUUGGCCAGAGAGUUUUAUUUAAACAAAUAUGAAGAACUUAUCGCUAUUCUUGACCUGCUUUCAGGACUGUGUCCUUUAACACGGUAAUAUAAUUUACAUUAAGCCGAUUUGUACGUACUAGAUGUCAUCAAAGUACUUGUAUACUUUGAACUUAUCUUGUUUGCUUACAACAAAGCACGUGUAUACUUUGAACUUAUCUUGUUUUUCGUGUCUUCAUUAGAAAAGUUAAUUAAGAUCAAUUACUAAUGUAUUGCUUUUCUUGUGUUUACAUGAAAGUAUACUCGACAAGUAGCUGGCCAGCUCUCAUGGUCAAUACUUCUACAAGUCAUGCAAGUCCAGGUUCACCAAUGAUUCCAAGUUUUAUUUUGAUUUAAACUGAAUUGCUUCAUUUUUGUUUGUAUUUUUUGGUAGUUUCUGUAUCAGAAUGUAUAUUUUUCAGAUUUCUAUAAUAUUAUGUAA